rnacentral:rRNA from 1 species
GGGGGGGGGGGGGGGGGGGGGGGGGGGGGGGAGGUGGGGGGGGGGGGGCCGGGGUGUGGGGGGGGCGCGCGGGGCGGGCGGGGGGGUGGCACGUGAGUGGCCUGCCCUGGCGUGUGUGGUGCCUUCCGGGCGCUGGGGCGCAUCCCCGCUAGGCGCCCCUGCGUCCUGGUGGGGGUUGGACCGUUUCGGCGGUUGGGGACUGCCUCGCGGCUUCUCAGCUUGUUGGUGGGGUAGUGGCUUACCAAGGCUUUGACGGGUAGCCGGCCUGAGAGGGUGACCGGCCACAUUGGGACUGAGAUACGGCCCAGACUCCUACGGGAGGCAGCAGGGGGGAAUAUUGCACAAUGGGCGGAAGCCUGAUGCAGCAACGCCGCGUGCGGGAUGACGGCCUUCGGGUUGUAAACCGCUUUCGCCUGUGACGAAGCGUGAGUGACGGUAAUGGGUAAAGAAGCACCGGCUAACUACGUG